rnacentral:rRNA from 1 species
AUUGAACGCUGGCGGCAUGCUUUACACAUGCAAGUCGAACGAUAACAGGCCUUCGGUUGCUCUCGAUUAGCUUACGGGCGAGUAAUUCAUCGGAACGUGCCCAACGUACGUGUAUAACUCAGCUAAAUUUGUGCUAAUACCGCUUGUACUCUGAGAUUUUUAGCUUGGGAUCGAGCAGCAAUGUUUGGCCUCGCUCCUUUGGAUCGUCCGUUGUCGGAUUAGCUAGUUGGUGGGGUAAAGGCUUACCAAGGAGACGAUCCGUAGCUGGUCUGAGAGGACGAACAGACAAACUGGGACUGAGAAAAGGCCAAGACUCAUAAGGGAGGCAGCAGUGGGGAAUUUUGGACAAUGGGCGCAAGCCUGAUCCAGAAAUGCCGCGUGCGGGAAGAAGGCCUUCGGGUUGUAAACCGAUUUUGGCAGGAACGAAAAGGUGUCAGCUAAUACCGGGCGCUAAUGACGGUACCUGCAGAAUAAGCACCGGCUAACUAAGUG